GAUGAACGCUAGCUACAGGCUUAACACAUGCAAGUCGAGGGGAAACGACAUCGAAAGCUUGCUUUUGAUGGGCGUCGACCGGCGCACGGGUGAGUAACGCGUAUCCAACCUGCCCAUCACUUGGGAAUAACCUUGCGAAAGUGAGACUAAUACCCAAUGAUAUCCCACGAAGGCAUCGGAAUGGGAUUAAAGAUUUAUCGGUGAUGGAUGGGGAUGCGUCUGAUUAGCUUGUUGGCGGGGUAACGGCCCACCAAGGCAACGAUCAGUAGGGGUUCUGAGAGGAAGGUCCCCCACAUUGGAACUGAGACACGGUCCAAACUCCUACGGGAGGCAGCAGUGAGGAAUAUUGGUCAAUGGGCGAGAGCCUGAACCAGCCAAGUAGCGUGCAGGAAGACGGCCCUAUGGGUUGUAAACUGCUUUUAUAAGGGAAUAAAGUGGGUCACGUGUGACUUUUUGCAUGUACCUUAUGAAUAAGGACCGGCUAAUUCCGUG
rnacentral:rRNA from 1 species